UUUCAGUGUAAAUCAUAAGUUUUCACGUCCAAUUUUAAUCAUCCGUCUUAUUUAAAAUUUUUUUAUAAUUAAUAUUUUUUGUUUGUUAUGAUAUGAUAAAACAUGAAUAGUACUUUACUCGUGACUUAUGUUUUUAAAUUUUUUCAAAAAAAUUUCAAAUAACGGAAAAAUUUGAAGUUUGAAGGGAAACACCCAGCCAAUGUUGUA
rfam:Oryza barthii chromosome 5, whole genome shotgun sequence.